ACAUAUAAUAAGGGUAAGGGUCCUCAUGCUCAGAAAGUUCUGAAUGCUUCAACCUAAAAAAGACGUUUAAGCCAUUAGUGUAAAAGAAGCGAAGAAAAUAAGCAACCAACCCACAGUCUACACAUAUAUCUCAGUCUCUCCCCGGAAUAUGCAUUUUGUUUCAAUUGCUAGAGUGAAGGUUCUGUUUAGACGAUGAGCGGAUUCUGCUUUAAGCGGAGCAGCAACAAGUCGGUCUGAUAAUUAGUCCUUUUUGUUUAUUGAUAUUUUAUAGCAUUUGACAGUUGCACUAAGCCACCAGCGCUAGC